rnacentral:sRNA from 1 species
GGCAGGAAGUGGAGCUGUCUGUACGCGCGGCCAUAGUCGGCUCCUCAACGUGGAGCGAUGGGAGGCCUUGAGAAGAAGAAGUAUGAACGAGGCUCAGCCACCAACUACAUCACCCGGAACAAAGCCCGGAAGAAGCUCCAGCUGAGCUUGGCUGACUUUAGGCGGCUGUGCAUUCUGAAGGGCAUUUAUCCCCAUGAACCCAAACACAAGAAGAAGGUUAACAAGGGUUCUACAGCAGCCCGAACGUUUUACCUUAUCAAAGACAUCAGGUUUCUCCUCCACGAACCCAUCGUCAACAAGUUCCGGGAAUACAAGGUGUUCGUCCGGAAGCUCCGGAAGGCUUAUGGGAAGAGUGAAUGGAACACUGUAGAGCGUUUAAAGGACAAUAAGCCCAACUACAAACUUGACCACAUCAUCAAGGAACGGUGAGCCGGGCUUUCCUUAGGACACUGCUGUUUCUUUAUUUACUGCUGGUCUCUGCCCUAGCACCAGGGAUACAGUAGGGAACAAGACCAAGACCCUGCUCAAAGAGCUUGCAACUUUUUCAAGGACACAGACCAAAAACCAAGCUAGCAAAUUACUAUAAUGAUUACGAGGUUUGUAGUUACAGGCUUGUCAGAGGGGUCUCUGAAGGGAGACGUUUGAGCCAGCCCGUGGAAGCACAAUCCAAGCAGAGGCUGUGGCAAGUGCAAAGGCCCUGUGGUGGGAGAGCC